GUCCAAGAACUCUUAAUCCCUCCAAUAACACUCCAACAUCUGCUGGGCUGUCUUCGAUGUCUGAACCUACAAGCACUCCCAUCACCAUCUUCUGGAACGCCUCCUGGGUACUGGGUGCAUCUGUAUCCUGCAGACAGAAGUAUUACACUGACUACUUCCAGUGUUUUGGAUGUCUCCGUUUGUGGAUGGUCACUCACUGAAGUAGAAAUGGCAUACUGAAGGAUCACCUUUUGUAACUUUUAGCCAGACUGGAGAAGUCUUUGUGGUAUGACUGUGGAAAACAAAUAAAAUUUAGUUAAUUAUUUUUUUUAAAUCAAUUGUAAGU